rnacentral:lncRNA from 1 species
CCUUGCUAGUCUAAGUGUACAGGCAGUAUAGUAUAACACAGCCUCUCUUUCCCCAAAUAUAUUCCUCAAGACAUGACUAGAUGAUCAAUGAGAAAAGAGUUCCAUGAACGUGCAAGUUCAAGAAACAUUGGAGUAAACCAGGUUCAAUAGCCUUCUUUGCUACGGGCCUUCUCAGGGCCUUAGUAAGCUAAGGCACUCGUGAUUCUCAGAGGAUUACAGCGUGCAGCCUUUGACCACAGAAGACAUCUUUAUACCAGAGUAUGUGGAUCACCAGCUCCGAGGACAGUUGAAGCUGGGAGGUGCCACUGGCCACCUUUGUCACCACUGAGAGAAGCAUGCCUGGUGUUGAAGCCAACACAGAGUUGAAGAAACGGAUGCCCAAAGAAAGGAAUGGGUUGGCCUGUGGCACCCAGCCAGCAACUGACGGAGCCAGGAUUUGAAACAGAUUCACCCCGAAGGACAGAACCCAGAGGCUGCAUGUUCAGAAAGAUGACACAGCCAAGUUCCCCAAUAUCCACGACAGCCCUCUCUAUGGUUCCUAAGGCUCAUUAAGAUGGAAGAGCAAGACUCCAGCUUCUGGACAGAUUCCCAACAAGAAAAUUUAGAAGAGAGGACGGAGAACCAAAGUUUUGCCUUGGCCCCGCCCCUUUUGAGCUACGAUGAAGCUUCUCAGAGGGUGCAACAUCUCUGUUUCCAGGAGCACCAGAUGGAGGGGCUGGAGCUGGCUUCCCUCGAGCUAAGUCACAGCCAAUCAGAUGGACCCACCAGCUUUCAACCAGAAGCUGGUGAUGCAAAGAAGUGGGGCCAAUGGAAAAGCCAUUCUGGUGAGGCCAGCAGCAGGAGCAGCAAUUUCUGAUCUCCAGGGACAGUGAUGGUGGCAACGGUACCUUGGUGAUGUCCUCUGGUCAGGCAAGAUGUCAUCAGUGUCCUCACCAGUGACCACAAUUCUGGCCUUGGUCCUGGCUGCCAUCUUGCCUUCCUGUUCCAGCUCAUUUUGUAAGCCUGGGACUUCCUGGUGAUUC